UAAUAUUUAAUUCGGUCUAGUCUAUUUUCACCUGUAAGUACAAAACUUGAAAAAUCAAAGUAUUUGAUUAGGGUAAUUAAUUCAGUCAUGCUAACAAGUGUCAUAAAGUACAACAAUUGUUAAAGAAAAUAAUAAAUUUGUUUUAAAUCGUUAUAAAUUUAAAUAUACAACUUUAAUUAAAAGAAAUUUUAUAUUUAAAUCAUUAACAUCAUUUCCCUAAUUUUGAUAAAAAAAAAAAAACAUUUCCCUAAUUAUAAUUAUUAUAAUAAUAAUAAUUAAAACAUUGAGUCAAAAAAUAAAUAAAUAAAAACAUAAAAAUAGUGGCAGUCUUAUUACAUUGAGUCAGUGAUGACUGUUUAGAGAAGAUCAUGCUCUUAUCAAAAAUAUCAUAAAAGGAAAAACCUCACUCACACCAACUCAUUUUUUAAUUUUUCUCAUCUUUCACACAAACACACACAUUCCCCACACAAACUCUCUCUCUAGUUUUCUCUAGAAAUAUAUACAAACUAUUUUCUUUUAUUAGGUCUUCAAACUUUCAUACACUCUCUUACCAAAAAGCACUUUCACACCCUCUUUCUUUGUGCC
rnacentral:lncRNA from 1 species